rnacentral:rRNA from 1 species
UGGGGAAUAUUGCGCAAUGGAGGCAACUCUGACGCAGCCAUGCCGCGUGUGUGAAGAAGGCCCUCGGGUUGUAAAGCACUUUCAAUUGGGAGAAAAAGCUUGUCGUUAAUAGCGGCAAGCCUUGAUGUUACCUUUAGAAGAAGCACCGGCUAACUCCGUGCCAGCAGCCGCGGUAAUACGGAGGGUGCGAGCGUUAAUCGGAAUUACUGGGCGUAAAGCGCGCGUAGGCGGUUGCUUAAGUCGGAUGUGAAAGCCCCGGGCUCAACCUGGGAACUGCAUUCGAUACUGGGCGACUAGAGUACGAGAGAGGGAGGUAGAAUUCCACGUGUAGCGGUGAAAUGCGUAGAUAUGUGGAGGAAUACCGGUGGCGAAGGCGGCCUCCUGGCUCGAUACUGACGCUGAGGUGCGAAAAGCGUGGGGAGCAAAACAGGAUUAGAUACCCUGGUAGUCCACACCGUAAACGAUGAAUGCCAGUCGUCGGGUAGCAUGCUAUCGGUGACACACCUAACGGAUUAAGCAUUCCGCCUGGG